GGGGCCUGAGUGCACUAGAUGGUGAGCAAGAUGGUGUCACAGUCACAACUCCUCAUCUUCCUGGUGCUCUGGGUCUCAGGUACCAGUGGGGAUACCGUGAUGACCCAGUCUCCAGACUCUGUGGUUGGGUCUCCAGGAGAAACCAUCAGCAUGAGCUGCAAGUCCAAUGAGAGUGUUAGCGACUAUGUAGCCUGGUACCAGCAGAAACCUGGAGAGGUUCCUAAACUGCUCAUCUAUGAUGCAGAUAACCAGGCAUCUGGGGUCCCUGACCGAUUCAGUGGCAGUGGGUCAGGGAGAGAUUUCACUUUCACCAUCACCAGUGUCCAGCCUGAGGAUGCAGGACAUUAUUACUGUCAGCAAGAUUACAGCACUCCUCCCACAGUGCUUCAGCCCCAAACAAAAACCUCCUUCCCAGGGCUGUAGGUCUGUGAGUCCAGUAGCACCAGCUGCUUCCUCCUCAGAGA